CCUUCGGGUGGCAGCAGUGGGGAAUAUUGGACAAUGGGCGAAAGCCUGAUCCAGCCAUGCCGCGUGUGUGAAGAAGGCCUUCGGGUUGUAAAGCACUUUCAGUGGGGAAGAAAGCCUUGGGGCUAAUACCCUCGAGGAAGGACAUCACCCACAGAAGAAGCACCGGCUAACUCCGUGCCAGCAGCCGCGGUAAUACGGAGGGUGCGAGCGUUAAUCGGAAUUACUGGGCGUAAAGCGCGCGUAGGCGGUCUGAUAAGCCGGUUGUGAAAGCCCCGGGCUCAACCUGGGAACGGCAUCCGGAACUGUCAGGCUAGAGUGCAGGAGAGGAAGGUAGAAUUCCCGGUGUAGCGGUGAAAUGCGUAGAGAUCGGGAGGAAUACCAGUGGCGAAGGCGGCCUUCUGGACUGACACUGACGCUGAGGUGCGAAAGCGUGGGUAGCAAACAGGAUUAGAUACCCCAGUAGUC
rnacentral:rRNA from 1 species